CCCCACACAGACCCCUUUAACCGUAUUGAGAACUUCUAUAGCACUAUAGAACCUUUCAUGCUAAAACUAGUAACAAGAGUUAACCCUCUCCACAAUGCAAGUAUAAGCCAGCAAGAACCCACCACUGGCAACUAACAGACCUAAACAAAAGUAGCAACUUUUGCCAGAAAACUCUACUUUACUCACUGUUAACCUUACACCAGAGCAUUUCAAGAAAGAUUAAAAGGAAAAGAAGGAACUCGGCAAACAUUAGCCCCGCCUGUUUACCAAAAACAUCGCCUCUUGUCCAUAUAAGAGGUCCAGCCUGCCCAGUGACUCUUGUUCAACGGCCGCGGUAUCCUAACCGUGCGAAGGUAGCGUAAUCACUUGUCUUCUAAAUAAAGACCAGUAUGAAAGGCAUCACGAGGGCUAAACUGUCUCCUUUCCCUAAUCAGUGAACCUAAUCUCCCCGUGAAGAAGCGGGGAUUAUUAUAUAAGACGAGAAGACCCUAUGGAGCUUUAAACAUCACAACACCUGCCUUACACUUUUAUCUACCCAGGUAUACCCUCUCACAGCACACUGAUUGUAUGUUUUUGGUUGGGGU
rnacentral:rRNA from 1 species